rnacentral:rRNA from 1 species
AGUGAACGCUGGCGGCAGGCCUAACACAUGCAAGUCGAACGGUAGCACAGUACGAGCUUGCUCUUACGGGUGGCGAGUGGCGGACGGGUGAGGAAUACAUCGGAAUCUACUUUUUCGUGGGGGAUAACGUAGGGAAAACUACGCUCAUACCACAUACGACCUACGGGGGAAAGCAGGGGUUCUUCGGACCUUGCGCGCGUUAAUAGGCCGAUGUCGGAUUAGCUAGUUGGCGGGGUAAAGGCCCACCAAGGCGACGAUCCGUAGCUGGUCUGAGAGGAUGAUCAGCCACACUGGAACUGAGACACGGUCCAGACUCCUACGGGAGGCAGCAGUGGGGAAUAUUGGACAAUGGGCGCAAGCCUGAUCCAGCCAUGCCGCGUGGGUGAAGAAGGCCUUCGGGUUGUAAAGCCCUUUUGUAGGGAAAGAAAAGCCUCAGGUUAAUACCCCGCUGUUCUGACGGUACCGAAAGAAUAAGCACCGGCUAACUUCGUG